rnacentral:rRNA from 1 species
UACGUAGGGCGCAAGCGUUGUCCGGAAUUAUUGGGCGUAAAGAGCUCGUAGGCGGCUUGUCACGUCGGAUGUGAAAGCCCGGGGCUUAACUCCGGGUCUGCAUUCGAUACGGGCUAGCUAGAGUGUGGUAGGGGAGAUCGGAAUUCCUGGUGUAGCGGUGAAAUGCGCAGAUAUCAGGAGGAACACCGGUGGCGAAGGCGGAUCUCUGGGCCAUUACUGACGCUGAGGCGCGAAAGCGUGGGGAGCAAACAGG